AAAAAGAUAAACCCUAGGUUUUCAUGUUCAACUUUGACUGUCCGUCUUAUAUGAAAUUUUUUUAUAAUUCGUAUUUUCAUUAUUGUUAGAUGAUAAAACAUGAUUAAUAUUUUAUGCGUGACUUGUCUUUUUAAUUUUUUUCAUAAUUUUUUUAAAUAAGACGGACAGUCAAACGUUGGACACGGAAACUAGGGUUUGUCUUUUU
rfam:Oryza sativa Japonica Group DNA, chromosome 6, cultivar: Nipponbare, complete sequence.